GACUGGAAAGAUGGAGAAUUAUGCUUAGGUGAGGUAAAGCUGAGGAAACUCUUGUGGAGUUCUGUAGUCUUCCUGACAUGCAGAUCUGUUGUCUGGCCUGAGCAUGUAAGUAGGUGAAAGCCUAAUUGAACCAUCUGGGUAGCUGG
rnacentral:ncRNA from 1 species